CCUACGGGUGGCAUCAGUCGAGAAUAGUCUACAAUGGGAGAAAUCCUGAUAGUGCGACGCCGCGUGGACGAAGAAGCAUUUCGGUGUGUAAAGUCCUUUUCAAUGUGAGCAGUACCUGGGAGGUUAAGAGCUUCCUGGGUGGGAUAGUAGCAUUGGAAUAAGCCACGGCUAACUCCGUGCCAGCAGCCGCGGUAAUACGGGGGUGGCGAGCGUUGUCCGGAAUCACUAGGCGUAAAGGGCAAGUAGGCGGAAUAAUAAGUCGGAUGUCAAAUCCACCGUCCCAACCGGUGACCGGCAUUCGAUACUGUUGUUCUAGAGUAAGGUAGAGGAAGACGGAAUUCCUGGUGUAGCGGGGGAAUGCGCAGAUAUCAGGAAGAACACCAGUGGCGAAGGCGGUCUUCUGGGCCAUUACUGACGCUAAAUUGCGAAGGUGCGGGUAUCAAACA
rnacentral:rRNA from 1 species